rnacentral:lncRNA from 1 species
UCAGCACAUGCCCAUCAUAACAGCAUAACAUCCUUGUCCUGCUGGAAACUAUUCAGCAUCCAGAGGACCAUCUUUAUGCUGAUAACACUAAAAUAUAAAAUAAUGCCAACAGCUGGUGCUACAAAUGGCUUUUAAAAACGAUGUUCAUUCACUAAAAUUCCUCUUGCUACUUUUGACAUGAAACACGCAGUCUCUAAUUAUUCUGAUCAAGACGGUGAAAUACAAAAACAAACUUUAAUUGUGUUUAACAGAUAUUUAAUCAGGACUCACUGAACUACAGAUUAAAGCUGAAAUUCAUAAACCA